rnacentral:rRNA from 1 species
AUUGAACGCUGGCGGCAUGCCUUACACAUGCAAGUCGAACGGCAGCACGGGAGCAAUCCUGGUGGCGAGUGGCGAACGGGUGAGUAAUAUAUCGGAACGUGCCCAGUAGUGGGGGAUAACUGCUCGAAAGAGCAGCUAAUACCGCAUACGACCUGAAGGGGAAAGGGGGGGAUCGCAAGACCUCUCGCUAUUGGAGCGGCCGAUAUCAGAUUAGCUAGUUGGUGGGGUAAAGGCCUACCAAGGCAACGAUCUGUAGUUGGUCUGAGAGGACGACCAGCCACGCUGGGACUGAGACACGGCCCAGACUCCUACGGGAGGCAGCAGUGGGGAAUUUUGGACAAUGGGCGCAAGCCUGAUCUAGCAAUGCCGCGUGCAGGAAGAAGGCCUUCGGGUUGUAAACUGCUUUUGUCAGGGAAGAAAUCCUCUAGGUUAAUACCCUUGGGGGGAUGACGGUACCUGAAGAAUAAGCACCGGCUAACUACGUGCCAGCCGCCGCGGUAAUAC